GGUUAAGCGACUAAGCGUACACGGUGGAUGCCCUGGCAGUCAGAGGCGAUGAAGGACGUGCUAAUCUGCGAUAAGCGUCGGUAAGGUGAUAUGAACCGUUAUAACCGGCGAUUUCCGAAUGGGGAAACCCAGUGUGAUUCGUCACACUAUCAUUAACUGAAUCCAUAGGUUAAUGAGGCGAACCGGGGGAACUGAAACAUCUAAGUACCCCGAGGAAAAGAAAUCAACCGAGAUUCCCCCAGUAGCGGCGAGCGAACGGGGAGGAGCCCAGAGCCUGAAUCAGUGUGUGUGUUAGUGGAAGCGUCUGGAAAGGCGCGCGAUACAGGGUGACAGCCCCGUACACAAAAAUGCACAUAUUGUGAGCUCGAUGAGUAGGGCGGGACACGUGGUAUCCUGUCUGAAUAUGGGGGGACCAUCCUCCAAGGCUAAAUACUCCUGACUGACCGAUAGUGAACCAGUACCGUGAGGGAAAGGCGAAAAGAACCCCGGCGAGGGGAGUGAAAAAGAACCUGAAACCGUGUACGUACAAGCAGUGGGAGCACGCUUAGGCGUGUGACUGCGUACCUUUUGUAUAAUGGGUCAGCGACUUAUAUUCUGUAGCAAGGUUAACCGAAUAGGGGAGCCGGAGGGAAACCGAGUCUUAACUGGGCGUUAAGUUGCAGGGUAUAGACCCGAAACCCGGUGAUCUAGCCAUGGGCAGGUUGAAGGUUGGGUAACACUAACUGGAGGACCGAACCGACUAAUGUUGAAAAAUUAGCGGAUGACUUGUGGCUGGGGGUGAAAGGCCAAUCAAACCGGGAGAUAGCUGGUUCUCCCCGAAAGCUAUUUAGGUAGCGCCUCGUGAAUUCAUCUCCGGGGGUAGAGCACUGUUUCGGCAAGGGGGUCAUCCCGACUUACCAACCCGAUGCAAACUGCGAAUACCGGAGAAUGUUAUCACGGGAGACACACGGCGGGUGCUAACGUCCGUCGUGAAGAGGGAAACAACCCAGACCGCCAGCUAAGGUCCCAAAGUCAUGGUUAAGUGGGAAACGAUGUGGGAAGGCCCAGACAGCCAGGAUGUUGGCUUAGAAGCAGCCAUCAUUUAAAGAAAGCGUAAUAGCUCACUGGUCGAGUCGGCCUGCGCGGAAGAUGUAACGGGGCUAAACCAUGCACCGAAGCUGCGGCAGCGACGCUGAUGCGUUGUUGGGUAGGGGAGCGUUCUGUAAGCCUGCGAAGGUGUGCUGUGAGGCAUGCUGGAGGUAUCAGAAGUGCGAAUGCUGACAUAAGUAACGAUAAAGCGGGUGAAAAGCCCGCUCGCCGGAAGACCAAGGGUUCCUGUCCAACGUUAAUCGGGGCAGGGUGAGUCGACCCCUAAGGCGAGGCCGAAAGGCGUAGUCGAUGGGAAACAGGUUAAUAUUCCUGUACUUGGUGUUACUGCGAAGGGGGGACGGAGAAGGCUAUGUUGGCCGGGCGACGGUUGUCCCGGUUUAAGCGUGUAGGCUGGUUUUCCAGGCAAAUCCGGAAAAUCAAGGCUGAGGCGUGAUGACGAGGCACUACGGUGCUGAAGCAACAAAUGCCCUGCUUCCAGGAAAAGCCUCUAAGCAUCAGGUAACAUCAAAUCGUACCCCAAACCGACACAGGUGGUCAGGUAGAGAAUACCAAGGCGCUUGAGAGAACUCGGGUGAAGGAACUAGGCAAAAUGGUGCCGUAACUUCGGGAGAAGGCACGCUGAUAUGUAGGUGAAGUCCCUCGCGGAUGGAGCUGAAAUCAGUCGAAGAUACCAGCUGGCUGCAACUGUUUAUUAAAAACACAGCACUGUGCAAACACGAAAGUGGACGUAUACGGUGUGACGCCUGCCCGGUGCCGGAAGGUUAAUUGAUGGGGUCAGCGCAAGCGAAGCUCUUGAUCGAAGCCCCGGUAAACGGCGGCCGUAACUAUAACGGUCCUAAGGUAGCGAAAUUCCUUGUCGGGUAAGUUCCGACCUGCACGAAUGGCGUAAUGAUGGCCAGGCUGUCUCCACCCGAGACUCAGUGAAAUUGAACUCGCUGUGAAGAUGCAGUGUACCCGCGGCAAGACGGAAAGACCCCGUGAACCUUUACUAUAGCUUGACACUGAACAUUGAGCCUUGAUGUGUAGGAUAGGUGGGAGGCUUGGAAGUGUGGACGCCAGUCUGCAUGGAGCCGACCUUGAAAUACCACCCUUUAAUGUUUGAUGUUCUAACGUUGACCCGUAAUCCGGGUUGCGGACAGUGUCUGGUGGGUAGUUUGACUGGGGCGGUCUCCUCCUAAAGAGUAACGGAGGAGCACGAAGGUUGGCUAAUCCUGGUCGGACAUCAGGAGGUUAGUGCAAUGGCAUAAGCCAGCUUGACUGCGAGCGUGACGGCGCGAGCAGGUGCGAAAGCAGGUCAUAGUGAUCCGGUGGUUCUGAAUGGAAGGGCCAUCGCUCAACGGAUAAAAGGUACUCCGGGGAUAACAGGCUGAUACCGCCCAAGAGUUCAUAUCGACGGCGGUGUUUGGCACCUCGAUGUCGGCUCAUCACAUCCUGGGGCUGAAGUAGGUCCCAAGGGUAUGGCUGUUCGCCAUUUAAAGUGGUACGCGAGCUGGGUUUAGAACGUCGUGAGACAGUUCGGUCCCUAUCUGCCGUGGGCGCUGGAGAACUGAGGGGGGCUGCUCCUAGUACGAGAGGACCGGAGUGGACGCAUCACUGGUGUUCGGGUUGUCAUGCCAAUGGCACUGCCCGGUAGCUAAAUGCGGAAGAGAUAAGUGCUGAAAGCAUCUAAGCACGAAACUUGCCCCGAGAUGAGUUCUCCCUGACCCUUUAAGGGUCCUGAAGGAACGUUGAAGACGACGACGUUGAUAGGCCGGGUGUGUAAGCGCAGCGAUGCGUUGAGCUAACCGGUACUAAUGAACCGUGAGGCUUAACCUU
rnacentral:rRNA from 1 species